rnacentral:tRNA from 1 species
AAGGGUAUAGCUCAGUGGUAGAGAAUGGGCUUAGCAUGCCCGAGGUCCUGGGUUCAAUCCCCAGUACCUCCA